AUGCCGAGUCCCUCUUUUGUCCCCUUAAUGAAUAAUAACCUCUUAAUGGCACUCUCCUGGGGCUUUGUCACUAGCUUGACAGCAUCUAAUCGUGUAUUAUUGGCUCAGCUGAAUGGGUCACUGGCUUUACUGGACUUGCACAAAGGACGUUGUAAAGAUGCAAGUGCGGUCCAACUCUUCCAAGGAUGCAGUUAUACUUCCUCCAUUUUUGGCACACCUUGACUUUGGAGUUUUUGAGAGCAAAAUGGAGACAUCUGCUUUACCUUCUGUCUCAGUGGAAAUGAACUAAGAGGACUUAUGAAAAACCCUAACGUUACUGGGGGAGUUUAGCCCCAAAUGUGGAAGUAAAAUGACUGUAACCCUCUUGGUUUGCCUUUACCAGAGCCUUCUAGGCUGUCAUCUACUUCUGGCUUCGCUCAGACUCUGCAGUCCAAAGAGUCAUGUGCAGUGACCCGCCACCAUCCCUGCUUCAGACUCCAGAGUCAGGUAGUUAGAUGAUUCCCUUUCAUGUAAGUACUUUUUUAUCUUUCUUAUCUGUGGAGGGAAGCCAGCACAAGUCAUCUUUGAAGGUAAGGAAAAUGGAACCAAUGUUUUGUAUCCCAGAAAUCUCAUUAUUUUCCAACUAAUCUGCUGACCUCGAAUGCAGGGGUUUGGCAGUUUCUUUAAGGGCUGUUGCUAAACAGAGCAGAAGCAGGUCCAUCUUGGGAAAGUCUGCAUGGGUACAAUAUGAAUUUUCUGUAAGGUGAAUUCUUUGGGCUGUGUCAGAAUGAGACACUGUGGGUGACUUGCCUUUGUCUCAAGCUUGAUGGUAGUUGCCUUUGUCUCAAGCUUGAUGGUAGAUUUCACAAGAGGAAAAAAGUGUGUUUAAGAAGUUACUUGAUGCUGAUCUGUCCAGAGUUUUUUUCCCAGGCUGGAUUUAGGGAAGGAUUAUCUCAGAUUUUCAUUUAGUUCUGAAAUCCUGGGUAUUGGUUUUAUAAACUAAACCCCCUUCGCAGCAGGUUGCUUGUUCUGUAUUGUUGUUUUAGCUUGGUGCAUAGAAAGGAAUUUAAAUUCACUGACAGGGUGGGGCUAGCUCCUCGCUGGGGUAAAUCAGCAUAGUUCAGAUAUUUAAAGGCAGAUGCAUCAGUCCUGGCAGCCGAGGAUCUGGCUUACUUUGAUUAAAAUCUGAUGAAGAUUACUCAGCCUUACCAAGGGACUUGGAUUACCAUUCUAUAAAAAGAAGGGCAGGAGAGCAGAGGACAUUAAAUAUAAAAAUAAUCCAACGAAGGAUGUGAAGCUAAAAGCGUGGCACGUUGAACAAUGAUGCAAACACCCUACUGAAACAGGUGGAGGGCCGCAGGGCUGGUGGGUGCACGCAAGGCUGGAAGCUAGGUUUGAGUCAGAAAGACAUUGCUCUUGUCACAGCCCUGGUCUUGUCUUUUAAAGGCAGAAUGUUCAGAAAGAGAGCCUCGCUCCUUAGAAAAUCCCCAGGGGAGUCUUGCAGGAGAAGAAGUGGGUGACAAAUCCUCUGCCUCUGCUUCCUCGGGGACCCAGGCUAGUGCCAAAUCUCACUACAAAGAGGUGAUUAGAGCUGAGGAACAGAAAGUCAGCUCUUACAGAUCUGAAAGCUUGAAAUGUGCAUCAUCUUUAGGGUUUCUUACAGAGGUUGAACUUCACCUCUCCCUUCUAUCGCAGCGUUCGUUUUCCUGGUUCUUUGUUCCUUUGAAAGCAUGAAGUGUAUUUAGGGGCUGUUAUUACUCCAUGUGAUUGUGCUCCAUGGGCAAUGACCGAUAGAAGGGCUGCAAUGAGCCCCUUUUUUUUUUGGCCUUUUAAACGUUUCUGUCAAACCUUUCAGCACAUGUCUAGCUUUCCCAAGAUUUCGUAUCCAGUCCCUUAAAAUCAAUACAAUCUGGUCUUGCCUCUGCAGUGGAGCUAUUGAUAGGGAAGAUGCACUUGGGUCUUCAUCUAACUGCUUUUUGAAGCCCCUAAACCCAUUUGUCUCUUCUUUUGAUGGAGCUUGCUGCCUUGCUCAAUGGCUUGCUUGCAUAGGAAGCACCUUCCUUGCUGACCUCUGUUAAAAACGUGGAAGGUCUUCAAGUAGAGUUGCAGGACUUGUGAUUUGAGUGUCCUUCUUUACCCAGACCAAGGAGAACAGAGUGCAUGGUGCGUUGGCUGGUCUGGAAUCUGUCUAGGGUGGCUGGAAGAUGCUUUAAUGGUGUCAGAAGGCUGCGGGAGCCUGGACAGUGAGGUUGAGCGGCCUUAAGAACGUUGCUGACUUAAACUGACGCAUCUAAAUGCGCUGGAGGAAAGACGAGAGGGCUGUUUGGGGACCUCCUGGGUGAUUACAUACAUGGCUGGUCAGCGACAUCGCCUGAGUGCCCCGGCAGCUAUGCCAGUCUUCCAGUUUUCUUUCAUUGCAGUUCGGAUACAACCCUGCUGCAGAUUAUAGACGUGUUUUGGUUGAGAUUCUCUGUGCUUGAUGCAUUGUCUGCCUGCAACGCAGGGCAAACUCUACUCCUCCCUUCUGGCCCGGCCUGUAAUGAUGGAUUAAGUAGAGUCUGCCCUCAGAAUUCAGGUCCUUGUCCAGGACUCUGGGAACCUGCCUGCGUGUGAUUGACGGCAUCACGUGAGCGUGUAUGGGGCUGCAUCUCAUGCUGUCGGGUCAGAGAUUACCUCCAAGCAGCCAAUACUCAACAUUCAGUCAGAAAAGAUGCAAAGAAGCAGAGCCAUUCCCCUCUCUGUGUCAUCUGCCUCUGAGAGUGGGAGAGUGCUGGCAGAGCGCUACCGGGUCUGUACUGGUAUAGAGAGGAAGGCUCAGAUUUGAUGAUUUGUCCAUUAUCUGGUGGUGGAUACAGCCUAACCUGGGCUCAGAGCAUCCCAAGGUCUGUAUCCUAGUGCAGGAACUGGCUGCUGCUGCUCUCUUCUGAAUAGACAGCUUUCUCCAGCCUCACAGCAUGCUAAUGUAGGCCAGUCACCUUCACCACAACUCCUGGCGCAAGAUAUUCAGCAGACUUGAUGCUUCAUAGUAGGCUGAAUCUGGUAUAACCAAGGCAGAAUUUCUACCUGCCAGUAGUGAAGUAAUGCCCUGUGAUUUCAAGUGACCACUGGUUUGACAGCAGUAGUGAAAGGGAAAGGCAUGAAUAGGCCGGAUAUCAGGAAAACCUUCUCAGGAGUGAUGAGGCUGUGAAAUGGACUGCCCAGGGAGGUGGUGGAGUCACUGUCCCUGGAGGUGUUCAAGAACUGUGGAGACGUGGCACUGAGGGACGUGGUUUAGUGAGCAAUAAUGGUUGAUGGGUGGACAGCUGGAUUAGAUGGGUCCGACUAGAGGUCCUCCAAUUAGAGGUCUUUUCCAGUCUAAAUGAUUCUAUGAAAGCAGUCGACCGUUUUCUUGCAGUCUCUGAGGAGCUUGGAUAUGGUGUCUGAAACGAGCUAAGGAAGCCACCUAAUCUCUGAGCACAUCCACCUUCUGCAGCAUACACCCUUCCAGCCACAAAGAGGUCCUGAGUCCCUCAGUGGCUGCAAAGAACAGCAGGUAGAUGGAGCAGACAGAGAUGGAGAGCAUUCUUUUGUUGCUUUUUUUUUGGGGGGGGGAGUAUCGUUGAAGAAUCAGGGUGACAAAAAUAUUUUGAUGGAAGUGACUAUGUGAAAUAUCUUUUCAUUUUGAUUAUUUGAAAAACAAAAACUGUUCAUGGGUUUUAAAAUUCAUGUCCCCUCCGGGUUGCUUUGUUUUGUUUUGUUUCUUAUUCCUUCUCCCUUAUUCCUCAGAGGAAGCCAUCCAAACCUACACGGUGCGUCAUUUCUUGAGGAAAUGCAGUGUGAUCUUUUUUUCCAGUUUAACCUGGGCUGAAAAAUCUUCUGGUGUUUCAUUUGCCUGAGAAAUCAGAAAAAAAAAGCUUGGAUGAAACAGGAAUCUGACUGGUUCACAGGGAACCUUCUUGGUUUUGGAGACCCAUUUGGGUGGGGUAGCUGCAGGAGCUCUUUGCUGUGCAGGUUGGGGAGGAGGUGAUGCCAUCUUUGCCUGGGCCAUACUUUGUGCCCAAUGCCUUCUCCAGGGGUGAGGGGCAUAAGGGGUGCAGAGCUGUGUCUUGGUUGCAGCAGGGAACUGCUACCACUGAAGUAUGAUUCUCAGCUUUCUGGAGUUGUGGAAAACAUCUGGACAAUGGUUGAAAUUGGAAGAGCGAAGGGCUAUCCUGGCUUUUGAGGGCAUAUCAUGGGAUGUCCCGCAGGUGGCUUGUUGGAGGUGAACCACAGAGGGAGGACUGCACUGGAGAGGCAUAGAGGCUCACAUGGGACGGGAGUGGUGGCAACUGCCUGUAUGCCUGAAAGCAGGGCAAGCAGUGGGCUGGGGGUGGAGGAGACCACCUCCGCCUGUUGCUGCCAUCUCCACGAGCUGCCAGCUCUGCCGUGUAGCUUUGCCCAGAUCUGCAGUAGAGCUGCUCAUCCCCAGCCCUGCCAUCCCUGUGCCCCACAUGCUGCCUCUCCUAUAAAUAGCCGGAUGGGAAGCAGAGCGCAGAGCCGCCGCAGAUGGCCCCCAGUUCCACGCGCACUCAUGUGUGAGAUCCCAGAGAGGGGCUGUCAAUUCCUUGCCUACAGCCACCCAUGCAACCUCAUUAAGGAUGGUGUCGUCUUCCUUAACCCCCAUCGCCCCCUCCCUCCCCACUUCAACGUGCCUCCAUUUGAGCACCCUUAUUAAACGUGCACUUCUAAGCAAGGAGCGCUGACUUCCCCUUAAUUGAGGCAUAAUAAUUAGAGCAUUAACACAUUAGGAGAGUGAGACAGCAUGUUUAGCUUUUGUGAUUAAUUAUCUGAGGAUUGUAAUAAGUUGUUAAGACAUUAAUUACUCUGGCAUGUUUAUUGCUCUUUAUUGCAGAACUGACACUUGGUGGAAGAGUUGCUGGUGUGCCUGGCGGUGCACCGUGAGGUGGGCUGGCCAGGGGAGACCUCUGCUCCCCCAUAGACACUGAGCUGCUGCUUGGGAAUGGAUCUAGGGGAGCAGAAACAGCUCCUGAACCUCCAGCAGGACACCUCGGGAUGGAAGUGGUGUCUGAAUCUCUUAGAGUCGUAGGAUUAUGAAGGUUGGAAUAAAACACUGAGAGCAUCAGCCCAUCCCCACCGUGCCCACUAAACCAUGUCCCUCAAUGCCGCGUUCUCCCUCAUCUUGGGGCAGCCUGGGAGCUGGAAGGCUUAUUUUUAUGGAUGGUUUCAGCUGGAUUUCUCUCUUCUUUCAAACAAAGUGUUUCCUCUCGGAUGGUUUGAGCCUGCCCUCAUUUGGAUCUUUGUUUUUGCAAAUCCAAGUCAGCGUGGCUCAUUGUGCCUGGAUCUGAGGAGGAUGGCUGUCUGUUAACGACAAGCUGAAGUUCAGCGUGUCGGCGGUGGUCAGGGAGUGAACCAGGACCCCAGUGGCCUCGCUUGGCUCUUGAUCAGAUGAAUUUUCUUCUGGAGAGCUGGGAGGUGGGUUAGGGAAGGCUGUUGCUGUGGCAGCAGGAGUGGAUCAGCCCUCUGCAGCCUGUUCUUCACACAGCAAGCUGCUCAGCGACCUGUCAGAGCUGUGCUGAUCAGAUGGGGGCUGAAGGCAGAGUUCAGAGCAGGAGGAUGGGUGGGUCCAUGUGCUGCUGUGACAGAGAAAAAAGGAAGCAGGAGGCUGCGAUGGGCCUGUUCCAGCCUUCUGCUUUUCCCAUGAGUUGCACAGUGCCAGAGUCUUGCUGUCCAGCUCUUUGGGUGGGGGACAGCACAGGAGAAAUGGGGGGAAAUGGAGUAACAGCCCCAGCCACUGGCAUGGAGAAUAAAACUGGGAAAAUGGUGAAAGUCGAGAAGGUGAGAAAGCUGUGAGUUUUGUGUGUUUGCUGUUGGUUUGAUAUUGGAUGGCCCCAUCCCUGCCGACAGCCAAGGUCAGGCUGGAUGGGCUCUGAGCACCACUAGGGCUGUGAGUGUCCCUGCUCAGUGCAGGAGGGUUGGACCAGAUGGCCUCUGAGGGUCCUUUCCAGCUCAAAACGAUGCUGUGGUUCCUUGGGGAGCCCUAGAGCUGAAAUGUCUGGUUUCCAGCCUAUGGCAGUGCCCUUGUGGCUUUGCAACACGUGCUUGUGUCUUGGGGUAGCAGCCAAGGGAGUGGGAGGGGGUCUUUAAACGUGAAGACCCUGUCCGGUUCGCCUUUCCCAAGGACAGACUGUCUCACUGUGGCUCCCACCAGCUCAAUCUGCUGUCACUGUGUCACUGGCACUGGUGGCCAGGGAGCUGCACAAGGCACUGAAUGCCCUCCUCGUGUGCGAGCUGGGAUCCAUCUUGUGUCAGCUGCCUUCAGCACCUCCGAGCCCACACUGCCUUGCUGAAGCCCAGCCUGAAUAUGGCAUUUGCUGUCAGGUGGCUGAUUUCUGCCUGCAGAAUAUGGAGAGCGUCAGCCUGGCAUUUCCCACUUGCCUCCUAGGGACAAAGCAGGUCAUGACUUCCGUGUAUUAUCAUUAAAAAGAUAAUUUCCUCUAGAUGUGUGCAAUAAGACAAUGGUGCUGACCUGUGAUCCUGGCAUUGCACAGCAUUAAUGAUUUCCCUUUGCAGGUAAUAAGCAGCAAAUGUACACAUUUUGGGGAGAUCUGAAUUAGUUUUUUUCCCUCCUUUUAAGACUGCUGUCUUCCUAGGCCAGACUUAAUUAGCAGACCUCAUUAUUUCCUGAAAUGUAACUUGACUUCCAUUGAAUGAGAAUUGUUCAGUGGAUGGGGAGCAGCAGAGCGGUGCUGCAAUAUUCAUAUUGUUUAAAUUGCAACAUUAACAUUUCAUGCCGCUCUUGGCAUAUUUUCAGGUGCGGCCCUUUAGCUCAAUGCAGUGCUGUGAAAGGUUGGAUCAGAACAAUUAGGAUACAGCGACUGGAUUUCUGGAUUAUUAUUAUUAUUAUUUUUUUUUUAAGCAACACAAGCUUAGAUUCAAUGCCCAUCACUCUAUUUGUUUGGCAGAACAGGGAUUCCAGCGCCCCUGAAGUAAAUGCUUUUCUGGAAUAAAGGAUGUGCUGUAGCACAUGCUCACCUCCUCUCUUAGCAGAGAUGAAGCCCUGCAGGUACAUGCAGUACGUGAUUCGCAGGGCUGGAAGCACCUCCUGGGACUUGACCUUCACUAGCUAAAUAGGAGAACUCCCAAUAAUGCUUCUGGCCACCUAGGCCACAGUCGCACACAAAAAGGCUGUUUCCCACUUUGCCCUUGUUCUUGGAUGCCUCAGGCUGGAGGUGGCACUGUAGUAAUGCCCAGGUCCAAGCGGAUCCUACAUGAGCACGUGGAUUGCACUCCCUAUCUCCAAACAGCCCGUGGGCCUUGGUCCUGCACAGGGGCUCCAGUGACCUUUGCUGCCUUGCCCCAUAGUGUGCUUUCCAGUAGUUUUUCCUGUACUGGAGUUCAGUGUCAAUGAUGGGAGUUAAUGUCAAGGAAUCAUAGAAUACCUGGGUUAGAAGGAACCUUAAAGCCCACCCAGUCCCAACCCUACAGUGGGCUGGCUGCCCCUCCCCCACCAGCUUAGGCUGCCCAAGGCCCAAUCCAGCCUUCCUCGAGCACCUCCAAGGAUGGGACACACGUCUGGGAUUGCCAUGAACCAAGUGCAACACCUUGAAUUUGGCCUUGGCAGUGUCAAGAACAACUCCAGCUUCCACCCUGGAACAACUUAGUUAGGGUCUCUGACUUCAGCCAACCAUGCCUCCCAUUUGUAACGUGUGCAGUGGGAUCCAUGACAUCUUAUCUCCCAUGGAUACGUAGCUUGGGUCAGGGUUCUCUGGUAUCUGGUAAGCUGCUUGUGCUGAACGGAACACCUCCUCUCGUGGGUUAUUUAUAACAUCCUGCUCUCCCACGCAGAUUGUCUGGUGUCUAAUAGUGGAUGAUGCACUACAGUUUGCAAGGUGCUAAUAAUCUCUCUCCUCUGUUUGACAGUCUGUUCCCAUGAGAUUUAUAGACUCUGACUGUCCCUGAGACCUCUGCCUCUCUGUCAGAUCAGGCUGAAAUCUGUUCUCAGUGUCAGAAGCUGCUGCCAAGCAGGCAGGGGAUGGACUGAUGCGUGUGUUUUGCAUCCCAUAAGAACUCAAGCACAGACCUGGGGGGCGAUGGGAGCUCUGAUUGCCAACUUGUGGGUUCAGGAAGGUGAGCCUCCAGGAGAAGGGCCGUGCCCGCAGCCAUCCUGCAUGAGAUGCCGUGCUGCGGGAUGCUCACGGGCUGCACUUCGUGUUCCCAUCGCCUGCGGUGACCAUCACAAGCGGCGCAGCCCCUGUGGGAACGGCCCCUGAGGACAAUAAACGAGCCAGCCCCGAGCUCCAGGCUGCUGUGAAGAAUUGCCUGGCUAAAGGAUAAUGAAUACCGCAGCAGGAGACGGAGCGUUUCUCCGAGGCCAUCCAUCCCCUUUAUCACCCCGCUAACAAGCCCCUGAGCGACUUCAGAGAGGCUUCUGCAGAGCAGCUCAAUCCCUCACCGUGCUGGCGGCUGGGUGCUGGGGGCUCUGCGGGAAGCCACAGCCCCAUCCCACAGAGCAACCACCAGUGCCCUCCAGGGGUCCGUGUAGUGCCAAGGAGGGGCAGAAGAGCCAGGCAUCCUUUUUUUUUCCAAGGCACUUUUGGGCCCUGCAGCACUCUUUGGAGCAUUGCUUUACCCAGCUCCCAGUCUGGCAAAGAUUUCUGAGGUCUGUGCGAGGCUCAGGAGGAGUUUAGUGCUGCUGGCCAGGAGGUGAGUUGGUUCUGCUUCACUUGCAGCACAGCUGAGUCUGUGCACGAGCCCGAUGCAGGGCAGAGAGGGCAGGAGCGAUGUGCUCUUCCUAAGAGCUAAUAAAAGCUGAUUCCUCCCAUAGCUCCGAGCCAGUGGGAAGCAUUAGUGGCUGGCUGAGUGCCUCCCACGCUGUGCAGCGUGCUGGGUGCUUGUCCUCCUGCGGAGGGAAAGGCAUCUCAGCAAGAACUCAGGCAUCCCUCCUAGGAGGGCAAACCAGGCGUGUAGCUGGGCAGCUGGGCAUGGGAGGCGAGUGGGAGCGCGUGGCACAAAAUUCCCAUUUCUGAGCAAGUUCUCCUGCCUAUGCUCAGGGCUUGGGGUGGGAGCGGCACACUCAUGGCCUGACUGGUGUCCAAAAAGCCCCGGUGCUGAAUGCCUCCAUUGAGAAGCUUACGUGUACGUCAGCAUCCCAAGCGUGCUGGUAUGUGGUGUGCCCACCUGCCUGAGUGUGUCUGGGGCACCGCAUGCAGUGUGUAGGCACUCAGCAGGGCUAAUUGCCAGUAAUUGGAAGGCUUCUUUUGUCUCCUCUUUCCUGCAUUAUUUUGCCUUCUCUUCCAGGUUUAUCUAUAGGAGGAUGCAUCUAGCACGGUCCCUGCAAGAACUUCACAUCCAGUGCUGGAGGAGGAGAAGGGAAAGCAAACAGUGUUGGGUGUUCUCAUCAAUAUAGGUGGCUGGGGGGGUGCGAGGGGGGGCAGAAAGCAGGAGAAAAGCUGAAAGCCCUUCAGGAAGGUGUAUAGAGCACAGUGAUGGGCAAUUAGGUUGUUCCAGGAAGGACAGAAGUAGCAGAGAGCAGUGAGCUGAGUCUGAGGAGCUCUCUGAUACUCAGCAUCAGCUUCGACUGAGGUCGCUGGGUAGGGCUGGUUGUGUUUAAUGCCUCAGUUUCCCCACGGGAGGGUUCAUUUACAGCCUGAAAACAUCUGGCACUUUUCCUCCUUUGGCCAGCACUGUUAUGUGUUGAAUUGAAGGGAAACGCAAUGCAUCACCCUCCUCAUGGGCUGCCACUCUGCCAAGAGUAGCGGAGAUUGGCCUUCCAUCAUGGGGGGCUGAGGUGGAAGGGACCUCCCGGAGCAUGCAGCGGAGAAAUACUGUCAUUAGCUGAGGAAGACCUGGCAGAGAUGGAGUGCUCCUUCACCUUGCCCGCCAGACCUCUGCCCUGCUUGCUGCUAACAGGACAGGGAAAUGCUAACUGUGCCAGCUGCAGUGCUUGGAGUGCUGUCUGCAUCCAGAUGUGAGAAACAGCUGGGACAGCAAGGCUUUUACAGCCUGGUGGGGGUGGCUUUGGUCUUUUUGCUGCCUAUCAACAAGCCCUUGCUGUUGGGAUCAAAGAAUGUUUCUCCAUACUUACAGUCAAUGGGUGCUGGAUGAUCCCCAGAGGUCCCUUCCAACCCCUACAAUUCCGUGGGUCUGUGAUGUCCCUGGCCAUGAAGGUCCCAGGAUGCAGGAGGUCUGCCUCCUGUACUUACCAGUGUAACAGGGCAGCCUUCGGGGUGGUGUAGGUUUGAAGGAUGCCUCACCUGCUCCUGUCUCACAGGUUGUAGGGAAAUCAUUUUAAUUAGCGUGACACGUCCCUUUGUGGGCAAAAAAAAAAGAAAGAAAAGAAGGAAAGCCAAUAGAAACUCCGGCCAUUCGGGGUAUUUUUAGUUCUUUGCGAAGGACUGUUAACAUCUCUCUCAGCUCCCUGAAGACUGCUUUGGCUCUGCAGUUGCCUGCGGUGCUGUGCUGACGCCAGCACACCCUGCAUGAAGGUAAGCCAGCCCCCGGGGCUGCGGUUCUGGAGAGCCUCGUUGCCCCAUCCUUGCUCUCGGGAUGCCCACCAGGCACAGCUCUCAGAGAAGGGGUGAGAAGCUCAGACGUAGAGUUCCCACACUGAGGCAUCUCCCCCCCUCCUUCCCUUUCUGAGCUGAGAGCAGCAAAAUUAAAGUAAAACUCGGCUCCUGAGCCUGAACCCUUCACCUGGCUUGUUUUCCCUUUUUUUUUUUUUCUCUGACCAUUUCGGUUGGCUGAGUGUCAUUGCCAGCCUAUUGCUUAUGGAGGGAAGGAGACCUGAGAGAGGAUAAAUCUGGAGGCAAUGAGGUUGGAGGGAGGCAAGUCAUCUGCUCUGACACUUUUAUAGUGGAGCGAGGCUGCUUGGGAGUGAAUCUUCCUUGCAGCAUAUGCUGUGGGAUGACGUUGCUUCCAGGGGUGGCAGUAGCCCUCCCCAAGCCUUGCUGCCCAGCCCUGUGUUCUUCCCUUGGGGCUGGGAAUGCCCUGGGCUGCAGGACCACUGGGUGGGUUCUUGGCUUUGGCCAUCAUUCCCUUUAUGGGUAUUUCAGGCUUUCAGCGCUCUGAAUGAAGGCAAAACUGUUGGGAUGUCUCAGAUGUGCCUGGUUUUGCCACCAGAAGAAGCCUUUUAUGACUUCAGCCAACGGACACAGGCAUUGUUUUGGACAUGAUGGAGCUGUUGGCUUGAGUGCGUUUCUUGUUUUGGAAAUGCAGAGGGCGCAACAGGAAUCACAGUGAAAUCCUCCUCUAAGUUGCCCAGGAGAGUGGGUGGCCUCAAGGAAAGGUUACCCCCAGCCCUAGGAAGGCAGUUCUGCAUGCUCAGUAGCGUGGUGAGGAGCUGAUGGCCAUGUUCCGUGCAAGGGUGGGAGCCAGGGGAGAUUCCAGGUUACACUGCACUCCCUGCUCCUUUCCAAUAUCACUGUCAACUUGGAUUUCACAUGGUGGUGGUGAUGCUGUGGCUGGCGUGACUGUAACAGAAUGUCACUGGGAGAGGUGAUGUUUUUCCCCCCAUAGGGGUACUUCUUCCUUUCCCUUCCCUCUGGCUUACAUGACAAACUUCAGACUCCCAGUGCCAACAUCUGUGUUGCCCAAGGGCCACCACACACAGCACUGGGCAUUGCUUUGUGCUGUGUCAGUGAGCAGCUCUGUGUCACCGGUGACACUCCAACACUAAGGGUUGAGUGGGUGACCAGAGGGUGACAUGUGUCACUGAGACAAAUCAGGGCAGUCGAGAGCUGCCGUGUUUGCCAUCAAGAGGAACAAUCCCUUACCAUACUAGCACCUUCCUACAGCAGCAUCCUGCUAAACCUGCCGGGCCAUCAGGCCCCAACCUGAGGUAAAUCUGGGUCUGACAGAUGGACAGACGUGUGAUGAUGGUUAAGGCUCUCCGUGGGCUGUCUUGCCUCCUCUAAGCAGGAGCUAUCAGGAAGGGAGUGUUUGGCAUGCUCAGCAGCCCCAUUGCCAACCUGCUGUCCUCAGGGGCAACUUCAGCAAAGCCCCUGUGCUGCUCUGUGUCCAGCUUUCAUCUUCCAGCUGGGUAUGGAGGAAGGCAGGAAUGUGUCUGCUGCUGCCAGGCUGUGCUGGAAAAUGUAGGCAGGGGACGCCUAUAUGCGUGCUUCAGGAUCCAAGAUCUUCAUCUGGUGCUUGUUCUCUAUUAGCCCCAAUCCCCUCUUGCAUCUUUUCCAGCUGAUGCCUGAGCUCGUUUUUGUUUUGUUUCCCUUUCUCCCUCACCUUAUGAAAAAUGGCUUUGCCAUCUGCAUCUGUCAGGAGUCUGUGGAGCCGGGCCCACGGCUCAGUGAGUCUACAAACGUGUGGUUGGAUUGUGGGCCCCACUGACAGGCUGGAGCCGAAUACCAAUGUGCAGGAGGAUGAGUGCACUCCCUUCUCUGCUGCUGGUGCCUCUGCUGGUUGUUUUUUUUUCCUAUCCAACGGAGGUGUGAGAAUUGCCUCUGGGAGCAAUGCUUCCUUCUGCUCCUGUUCCGCCUUGCCAAGGUUAGGUUCUCUGUUAUCCAUCAUCAGAUGAGGCCUCGCCUCACUCCUGCAUCUCAGCUGCUGAUGGGAGGGCUGGGGAAGGGGAAAUGUUCCACUCUGCCUCCCCGGCCAUCCCUUCCCCUCUCUUUUUGCAUCUCACCCACAGGUGCAGUGCAAGGCAGCAGGUAGGCUCGGGCCCAAGGACACUUAGAAUCACAGAACCAUGGAACAUCCCAAGUAGGAAGGGAUCACCAAGACCCAACUCCUGGCUCCGCACAGGACCACCUAAAACUCAGACCCUGUGUCUGAGAGCGUUAUCAAGAUGCUUCAUGAACUCCUGCUGCUCGGUGCUGUGCCCACUGCCCUGGGCAACCUGUUCCAUGCUUCACUGCCCUCUGGUGCAGAACCUAUUCCUGAUACCCAACCUGAACAUGAUGUUUCCUUUGCUUGCUGGUACCAAGUGGCUCUGGAGAGAGUGGAGACUGAGGUAGAUGAAGAUGAGGUAGAUGAUCUGUCCAACCAUACAUUCCUGCUUUAAAAUGUGAUUUUGUAUGGAAGCUUUUGGCCAAGUUGAGUCAGAGCCCAGGUAAGAUGUGACAGCACCAAGUGCUCCUGCACAUCUUAGCCUCACUAUAACUCUGUGAGGUCACACAGCUGUCCACAGGAGGUGACAACCUGCCUCGGCCCCACUAGCUUUGCCCACCCCCUCUCUGCCUAUUGGGUUUCCUGCAGUUUGCUACAUGAGCCACUUCCCCAUCCUUGCUGUGCUGACACAUGUAGAGCCAGGUGGGCUCAGAGGAGUGGGCAGAAGAUGAAAGGAAUCUCUCCAUGCUCUUGCCACAGCUCUCUGGUCAAGGAGGAGAAGCUUCUAGGAGGGUGGCCCCCUGCUUUGGCAGGAGGAGAGAGCCAGCAGCUUGAGCUGAGUUGGUUUUCCAACAAGCAGAUGGAUGUUCAGCAGGAGCCCACGGAAACCUUCUAGCUUCAGGCUAGCUGCGAGCCCUGCAAACCACAGCAUUGUGCUGAUGCAAAGAAAGCAUCGCUCUACUGCUGCUCAGUCUGAAUUACCUCUCUGGGGGGCAGCGUCCAUCCCCUGUGUCUGUGCUCUGCAUCUGGCUGGGCAAGGCCGUGCAAGGAGGGAGGAAGGCAGCAAUGGCAGCCUCUUCCCACAUCUCCACGCCGCGGGGCUCUUGGCGAGCUAGCGCAGUCUGCUCUGCAGGCUCUGAGUGCUCCUGCAGGUGGGAGCCAAUUUGUCUGCAUUCCUGCCCAGGUGCCAUCUGCUGUAGGAUUGCCUGCGCGAGGAUGAGCACGAUGGGGAUGGCAAAGG